GGUCAGAUCGCAAUGAAACAUGGGUUCUCAUUUGAUCUCCAAAGUUAAGCAGGGUUGAGCCCAGUCAGUACUUAAUGGGAGACUACUUGGGUA